CUGGCAUGAGUUAAACAAGCCAUAGAAAUGUGAGUAUGAUUCUGAAGAGACUGCUGCAUUUGAUGCAAUGGAGUGGAAGAAUAGAGCGUGGAUAAAAAUAGGAUUUGGCGGGGCGCCCUUUGGAUUUGAAAACUACUUAUUGCAAAAGAGUGGCAAUAUUUUCCAAAAAAGUGUGUCCCAGAACAAUAUUCCUGUCCCCCAAGUCUAGAAGAGUCCAUCAACGAUCAAGGGAAAUGGGUCACGAGUGGGCGACCGACAAAGGGCCGGGUGUCGACCUGGUUUUUACCUUUUCUUCGUCGCUCUUGAAAACCUGCGAGUUGAGAUUAGUCACAAUGAGCGAGUUAGGCAGCUCGUCGUCGUGGAUGACGUUGUCGACGCCUAGGACGUCUUCCUGGUCGUGCUGCUCAAAGUUGGGGUGCGCGUUUGGCAGGCCGUCGGCUGCGUUGAUGAUGAUGUCGGCUUCCAUGGCCGAUGCCGACUCUUCGCCCGCCAUCUGUGAGUUGCCGACAAGUCGCCUACAACACCAUCGGCCCCGAUUGUCAACGCCGACCCCGCACGCAACGUCUUGCAGCGAAGAGGAGACCCUUUUGUUUAUUGACAGCCACGCCCCUUUGUGCCCGUGACGUCAUCCCUAUUCAUGACGUCAACGCACCAUCCAAUCCUGAUCCAAUCGUUCCUUGCGCCUUUAAUUUUUAAGUCAU